GGUCUCUUGUGGUUACUUUGGUAAAGCGCCUGUUUCGUAUACAGGAGACCCUGGGUUCAAAUCCCAGCAGGGCCU
rnacentral:tRNA from 1 species